GCAUCAAGAUUAGCACUAUCUCCAAAACUGAUCAAACCGAGCUUCCACUUGAGCCUCUUCACCAAAGUACCAACAGGUGCUUCCAAAAUGGUUUCUUAGACUAUGGUGCAUUAGUCACAAACCAUGCACAUAUUUUGCACCGAAACUAACACUGUUUCUAAAUAGACCAAAGCGAGAUUCCAUAUGACACACGUCAUCAAGGAGUCCCAUCAGGUGCAUCCAAAUUGAUUUCCAAGCAUAUGGUAUGUUCCAUGCAAACCGUGCACCUAUCUUGCAUCAAGACUAGCACUGUCUCCAAACAGACCGAAACGAGGUUCCACUUGAGCCUCUUCAUCUAGGUGUAGAAACACGUGCGUCGAAAAUGGUUUCUUAGACUACGGUGCAUUAGGCACAAACUAUGCACCUAUCUUGCACUGAAACUAACAUUGUCUCCAAAUAGACCGAAGCGAGAUUCCAUAUGACACACAUUAUCUUGGAGUUCCAUUGGGUGCGUCCAAAUUGAUUUAUUAACAUAUGGUACGUUCCAUGCAAACUGUGCAACUAUAUUACAUAAAAAUUAACACUAUAUCCAGGCAGACCAAAUCGAGCCUCCACUUGAGCCUCUUCAACUACGAGUACAAUCGGGUGCGUCUAAAAUGGUUUCUUAGCCUAUUGUGCAUUAGGCGUAAACCGUGCACAUAUCUUCUACCAAAAUUAAAACUUUCUCUAAACGAACCAAAGCAAGAUUUCAAAUGACACACAUUAUCAAGGACUUAUAUCAGGUAGGUCCUAAUUGAUUUCUGAGCAUAUCGUAUCUCCAAAUAGACCAAACCGGGCUUUCACUUGAGCCCCUUGACCUAGGAGUACCAUCGGGUGUGUCCAAAAUAGUUUCUUAACUGUAACGCCUGAGGGAAAAUAGAUAAAGAAAAAAAAGGUAAAAAAUAAAAAAAAAUAAAAAAUACUGUAGCCGGCGCUACAGUACCUGCGGUGUACAGUACCACGCCCGACCCUUCUCCUACCCUGAGUCGGUGUUUUCCCUGUUCCUCGCAACCUGGUCACGAACCGCCGCCAUCCUACCUACAAAAUUCACGAAAGAGAGAAAGGUGAAGAGGGAAGAGGAGGAGAGGGCCUAGGGUUUUGCCACCGCUGUCGCAGCCGCCGCCGUCGUCGGUCAACCGUGGUGGUCGUUCUUCCUCCCGUGCAAAUUACGGUUAGGUUCUACCACGUAUCUUGGCUUUCCCAUUGAUCCACCAUGUCCCUUUGCUGUCCAUGAGGGCUUAGCCAUGUUUGGCGUAGAUCAGAAUAACAAGGCUUUGUGGCGGCAAGGAUCGUGGUGAGUUGGAUCGGAGAUGAUGGAAAGGUGAAGAGGCGGAGAAGAAGGAGUAGACACCGAGAGUUUUUGCGUCGUGCUCGCUGUGGUUCUCUAGGUGAGAAGCCAAAUAUUAAUCCUCUUCAUCUGAUCAAGUUUUGUGGAUUAAAUAACUUAUUUGGGAUAAGAAAACAGUGGCAGAGUAUGAGGUGGGCUUCAACAAGAUUGUUCGCUUUGUUCCACAUGUGGCCCGUAAUGAGGUAGAGAAGGCAAGCCAGUUUCGUCAGGGUUUGAAACCAUCGAUAAGGCACACUUUGGGGGCCUUUCCACUGGUGGAUUUUUGCACCACUGUGGAGCAGGCUCUAGGUGUGGAGAUGUUGUUACAGGUACUAUAUUAGUUGAUUCAUUUGAUGCAUAUGCUCUUUUUGACUCUAGCGCUAUUUUCUCGUUUGUCUCAAAAGGGUUUGUGGCUCGUGCUGGCCUUUCUAUGCAGAAGAUUGGUCAGUCCAUUGUGGUUAGUUCUGCUAAAGGCUCUAUAUCAAGUCAUUUGAUUUGUCCGGGUUGCCAUAUUUUUCUAGCUGAGGAGGGUUUUGUUGCUAAUCUAGUGGUGAUUCCCCUUGAGUCCUUUGAUGUUAUUUUGGGCAUGGAUUGGCUUUCACAAUAUCCCGUAUUAUCUCUUGUUUCUAGAAGACAGUAUCUUUGCAGGCACCUUCUGGUAGAGAGGUGAUCUUUGUUGGGAGUGCUAUGAAGUACUCUCUUGCUCUAUUGUGUCUGUUGUUCUCAGAUCGUCAAACUAGGAAAUAUGGAAUUCUCUUUUCUAUGGUGGAUGGUAGUGAGGUUGCCUUGAGAGUGGAGGACAUACGAGUGGUGUGUCAUUAUCCUGACGUGUUUCCUGCUGAACUUCCAAGUAUUCCUCCUGAGCGUGAUGCAGUUUUUGAAAUUAAGUUGGUUCCUGGUACGCAGCCAAUCCAUAAGACUCCGUAUUGGAUGGCUCCAAAAGAGCAGGUUGAGUUGAAGAGGCAGUUGGAUGAUCUUCUUGCUAAGGGUUUUAUUAGACCUAGCAAGUCACCUUGGGCUUUCCCUGUGCUAUUUGUGGAGAAGAAGGAUGGUACUAAGAGGUUAUGUGUGGAUUAUCGAGAUCUUAAUCGGGUAACCAUCAAGAAUAAAUAUCCUUUACCGCGUAUUGAAGUCCUCUUUGAGCAAUUGAGAGGUGCCAAGGUAUUCUCUAAGAUUGACUUGAAUUCUGGCUAUCAUCAGUUGAGAAUACGGGAUGAAGAUAUAGAGAAGACAGCUUUUAGCACCAGGUAUGGGCAUUAUGAAUAUAUUGUUAUGUCUUUUGGACUAACAAAUGCCCCUGCUGUGUUUAUGGAAGCUAUGAAUAGGAUGCUACAUGAGUACUUGGAUGAUUUUGUCGUUGUUUUCCUUGACGGUAUCUUGAUUUACUCUAAGUCCGAGGAAGAGCAUGAGCUACAUCUUAGCCUUGUUCUUGAUGCCCUUCGGAAGAAUCAAUUUUAUGGGAAAUUGAAGAAGUGCGCUUUUUGGCUCUCUGAAGUGGCUUUUCUAGGUCAUGUUAUUAAUCAACAUGGCAUUUCAGUGGAUCCCAAGAAUGUAGCUAGCGUUGUUAAUUGGCAGAGACCUACUACAGUGACUGAGAUUCGCAGUUUUCUUGGUCUUGCUGGCUAUUAUCGGCGUUUUGUGCAGGAUUUCUCUAGUAUUGCAAAGCCGAUGACGAGGCUUACUGAGAAGGGUGUUCCUUUUGUAUGGAACAAUGAUUGUGAGAUCAGUUUCCAUACUUUAAAGGAUAAGUUGGUGAAUGCUCCUAUCUUGGCCUUACCUGAGAGUGGCAAGCGUUUCACGGUGUACACAGAUGCAUCCCGUGUUGGUCUUGGUUGUGUAUUGAUGCAAGAUGGCAAAGUGAUUGCUUAUGGCUCUAGGCAGUUGAAGAAACAUGAGAGAAAUUAUCCUACCCAUGAUCUAGAGUUGGCUGCUGUGGUGUUUGCCCUGAAGUCUUGGAGGCAUUAUCUAUAUGGUGAGCCAUGUGAUAUUUAUACUGAUCAUAAGAGCCUUAAAUAUAUUUUUACUCAGAAGGAGCUAAAGUUGAGGCAGCGUAGGUGGCUUGAGUUGAUAAAAGAUUAUGACCUUACUAUUCAGUAUCAUCCUUGGAAGGCGAAUGUGGUGGCAGAUGCUCUUAGUAGAACUGGGGUUCCUAAGGUAGCAAUGCCCUUGAUUGCAGAUUUGAAUCGUAUGGGUGUCUCCUUGUGCUAUUUUGGUGCAGCAAGAGAGGAGACUCAGUUGCUCAUUCAGUCAAACCUUCUUGAGAGGGUCCGUGAGGCUCAAAAGCAUGAUCGCUUGAUUUAGGAGGCUCGCAAGAGGGUUGGUGAUGGCAAACCUCGUGAGUUUAGUAUUGAUCAGAAUGAUGCGGUUUGUUUUAGGGGACGCCUUUGUGUGCCACAGAAAUCAGAGGUGAAAAUAGAUAUCUUAAGAGAAGCUCAUCGUACUCCAUACACAGUUCAUCCUGGUGAGACAAAGAUGUAUAGAGAUCUGAAGCAGAGCUUUUGGUGGAAGAGGAUGAAGGCCGAUGUUGCCAAGUAUGUAGCAGCUUGCGGUGUGUGCCAGCAAGUGAAGGCUGAGCACAAGAGGCCUGCAGGAUUAUAAAAAACCCUAGAAAUUCCAGAAUGGAAGUGGGAAUAUAUUACUAUGGACUUUGUGGUUGGUUUGCCACGUUCUCCACGGGGUAAAGAUGCAAUUUGGGUUGUUGUAGAUAGACUCACCAAGAUGGCUCAUUUUAUUCCAAUGAACACCAAGAAUUCUGCUGCAGAUUUGGUCCCAUUGUAUAUUAAGGAGAUAGUGAGGCUACAUGGAGUACCAAAGUCUAUUGUUUCUGAUCGAGACUCCAAAUUUGUUUCUAAUUUCUGGAAAAGUUUGCAUAGCGCUUUAGGGACGAAGCUUGACAUGAGUGUUGCUUUUCACCCUCAAACUGAUGGUCAGUCUGAGCGCACUAUCCAUACUUUGGAGGAUAUGUUGCGUGCUUGUGUCCUUUCUUGGAGGGGAAGUUGGGAGGAUCAUCUAGCUUUGGCUGAGUUUGCUUAUAAUAACAGCUAUCAAGCUAGUAUAAAGAUGGCGCCAUAUGAGGCUUUGUAUGGUAGAAGAUGUAUCUCACCGUUGUGUUGGGAAACACUAGGAGAGAGGUCUUUAGUUGGUCCAGAUUGGAUUCAACAGACAACUAAGAAGGUACAAGAAAUACGUCAGAAUAUGUUGGCUGCUCAGAGCCGCUAGAAAAGCUAUGCAGAUGUUCGAAGGCGAGAUCUCGAGUUUGCAGUGGGUGAUCAAGUUCUUCUUCGAGUAUCGCCUACUAAGGGUGUUGUGCGGUUUGGUACUACGGGAAAGCUCAGCCCGAGGUACAUUGGACCUUUUGAUAUCAUAGCCCGAGUCGGUAGCUUGGCUUACCGCUUGCAGUUGCCCGAGUCUAUGAAGGGAGUUCAUAAUGUCUUCCAUGUUUCUAUGUUGAGAAAGUAUCUGCGAGAUCCCGAGCAUAAGAUCAACUUAGAGCCUAUUCAUGUGGAGCAGGACUUGACUGUGAAGUGUGAGCCAGUGCGUAUUUUAGAAUCAUCAGAGCGUGUUCUAAGGAGAAGAAUUAUCAAAUAUGUCAGAGUUCUAUGGGCAAAUCAGCCUGAACGUGAAGUGACUUGGGAGCUUGAGGAGCAGAUGCGUAAGGAGUAUCCUGAACUAUUUGACACCGGUGAGUUUUAUGCAAAUAUGUGUGUUUACCGUUAUCUUAGCUUAUACCGUAGAUGCAGCUGAAUUCGAGGACGAAUUAUUUUUUAGGAGGGUAGACUGUAACGCAUGAGGGAAAAUAGAUAAAGAAAAAAGGUAAGAAAUAAAAAAAUAAAAAUACUGUAGCCGGCGCUACAGUACCCGCGGUGUACAGUACCACACCCGACCCUUGUCCCACCUUGAGUCGGUGUUUUCCCUGUUCCUCCCAACCUGGUCACGAACCGCCGCCAUCUUACCUACAAAAUUCACGAAAGAGAGAAAGGAGAAGAGGGAAGAGGAGGAGAGGGCCUAGGGUUUUGCCACCGCCGUCGCAGCCGCCGCCGUUGUCGGUCAUCCGUGGUGGUCGUUCUUCCUCCCGUGCAAAUUACGGUUAGGUUCUACCACGUAUCUUGGCUUUCCCAUUGAUCCACCAUGUCCCUUUGCUGUCCAUGAGGGCUUAGCCAUGUUUGGCGUAGAUCGGAAUAACAAGGCCUUUGUGGCGGCAAGGAUCGUGGUGAGUUGGAUCGGAGAUGAUGGAAAGGUGAAGAGGCGGAGAAGGAGUAGACGCCGGGAGUUUUUGCGUCGUGCUCGCUGUGGUUCUCUAGGUGAGAAGCCAAAUAUUAAUCCCCUUCAUCUGAUCAAGUUUUGCGGAUUAAAUCGCUUAUUUGGGAUUGGGUUUAGUGGAGAAAUUAUCGAAGUCAAUUUCGUUCUUGUUCUGAAAUUCUCGUCAGACUGAGCAGUCCCUGUUCAUCAUAAUGUUAGGGCAUUUUAGAAGCUUUAAUAAUUUUUUAGCCUGCGGACAAAGUUGUAGAGGACUUCAAUGUCUUUCUUUGGACGCCAAGAACUCUGUCAUAGCAGUUAUAAUUUGUGAGAUAUCGAGUUUUCAAUCUGACUGUUUUCCAGUGAUGAAAAUCUGGACAGUUUUGGAUCUAAGCAGUUUUUGACCCUGUUAAUUAAAUAAUUAGGUCUUUGAUUAUUAACAAAGGUUUUAGGAUUUUUGUUAAGCUUUCUAGAUUGGUAAAUUUUGUAACUUUUGAAUUAGUAUAUCUCCAGUUAUAAAUUUUUGAAGUUUGAUGUUCUGUUUUGAAUGUCAGAAAUAUUCAGUUGUGUUCUAUGGUUAAUUAUACCAUCUUACGGACCUCUGAUGCAAAACCUUUCAAUACAAAAGUUGUACAUAACAGAGUUUUACAUGGUCUGAUAAAUUGUGGUAAUUUUUGGAUGUGUAUUCUGAAGUAUAUGAAAAAGAGAAGAGUCGGUACUGCUGUCUUGAUCGGUAGCGCAAACGGUAAAGGCUUGAAUGUCGGGUUUGGGGCGCUUUAGUGCGUAUUUGUUCUUAAUCUUACUUGAAUGUUGGUGUAUGCACUGAAUAUUAUUUGUGAUCAGGUGGUAGCACUUCAGAACGUCGCUAGUGUUUUUGUUCUCCUUCGGUAAAUUAAGAGGCAAGUGAAUGUAGCGGUGGUUUGCUACCGUUUUGGCUUGUUAUUUUCAUCACCUACAGUUUAUUGUCUAUAAGAAUGUCUUGGUAUUUUCAGCCUUAGUUAAAUUAUGGUCUUAUUUAAGUUCUCAUGGUGAAGGUAUUAUUUUAUAUUGUUAUUUGUGGCUAGCCCACAUACCUGAAUUUGAAGUUGGAGUAUCACUCGUGAAUUAUUAAUUUUAUUGCAACAUGCUAAGUGCAUUGCAUCAUUCAUUGGUAUUGGAAGUUAUGUCUUGACCUAUGGUCAUGACUGUACCGGUACGCAUCAUGGGAUGCAGCUCCACACCUUGUUGGUGUGCAGGCAGGAGACAUAUGCAUUGCAUUCAUAUGCAUUCAUGAGAAGUAUGUUAUCGAAGGGAUUUUAUCCACGUUAUUAUGAAGCUCUCUAUUGUUGGCUAUGUUCCAAAUCGAAAGUCUGUUACUUUAAUUCGAUAUCGUGUCAAUUGGAAAUACCAUAUUAAAUUGAUAUUAAUUCAACUUGUGGUUUAAAUAGCUUGUCAAAACAAAUUCGCUUGCUGAGAUAUUUUAUCUCACUCUUGCGUUACUCAAUACUUGAUGCUUGCUUGGAAGGUAAGGAAAUUAGCUGCACGUCACACACUUCUUCAUUUAGAGACCUUGUGUUUUAAUAAAUAAUAACUUGGUUUGCUCAUUGGUUUUGAAGGUGUUUGUUUAAAGUGUGAAUGUUAAACUUAACUCUUGCCUUAGGAUGUUUAUUAAUCCUAGUUUGGUAUUUCAGUUAUUUAUAUAUUUUAUUCUUCCGCUUGCUAUAAAUACAAAGAAGAUGCUGCCAAAUUAUUUGUUAGUUGUGUGCAGCUGUUGUUUGUGUAGUUUAGUAGCAUUCUGGUGUAUUUGUGGUUUCCGGGGUGUUACAUUAACCUAUGGUGCAUUAGGUGCAAACCGUGCACCUAUCUUGCACUGAAACUAACACUAUCUCUAAACGGAUCGAAGUGAGAUUCCAUAUGACACAUGUCAUCUAGGAGUUCCAUCUUGUGCGUCCAAAUUGAUUUCUAAGCAUAGGGUAUGUUCCAUGCAAAUUGUGCACCUAUCUUGCAUCAAGAUUAGCACUAUCUCUAAACAGACCGAACCGAGCCUCCACUUGAGCCUCUUCACCCAGGAGUACCAACAAGUGCUUCCAAAAUGGUUUUUUAGACUUUGGUGCAUUAGGCGCAAACUGUGCACAUAUCUUGCACUGAAACUAAAACUGUCUCUAAGCACACCAAAGCGAUUCCAUAUGACACACGUCAUCAAGGAGUUCUAUCGGGUGUGUCCAAAUUAAUUUCUAAGCAUAUGGUACGUUCCAUGCAGACCGUGCAUCUAUCUUGCAUCAAGAUUAGCACUAUCUCCAAAUAGACCAAACCAAGCUUUCACUUGAGCCUUUUACCUAGGAGUACCAUCGGGUGCGUCCAAAAUGGUUUCUUAGCCUAUGCUGCAUUAUGUGCAAACCUUGCACCUAUCUUGCACUGAAACUAACACAGUCUCCAAACAGACCAGCAAGAUUUCAUAUGACACACGUCAUCUAGGAGUUUUAUCAUGUGCGUUUAGAUAGAUUUCAAAGCAUUUGAUAUGUUCCAUGCAAACCGCGCACCUAUCUUGCAUCAAGAUUAGCAUUAUCUCCAAACAGACCGAACCGAGCAUCCACUUGAGCCCCUUCACCUAGGAGUACCAACAAGUGCGUCCAAAAUGGUUUCUUAAACUAUAGUGCAUUAGGUGCAAACUGUGCACCUAUCUUGCAUCGAAACUAACAAUGUCUCCAAAUGGACCGAAGUGAGAUUCCAUAUGACACACGUCAUCAAGGAGUUCCAUCGGGUGCAUCCAAAUUGAUUUCCAAGCAUAUGGUAUGUUCCAUGCAAACCAUGCAGCUACCUUGCAUAAGGAUUAGCACUAUCUCCUAACUGAUCGAACCAAGCUUCCACUUGAGCCUCUUCACCGAGGAGUACCAAAUAGUGCGUCCAAAAUGGUUUCUAAUACUAUGGUGCAUUAGGUGCAAACUGUGCACCUAUCUUGCACCGAAACUAACAAUGUCUCCAAAUGGACCGAAGCGAGAUUCCAUAUGACACAUGUCAUCAAGGAGUUUCAUCGGGUGCAUCCAAAUUGAUUUAUGAGCAUAUGACAUGUUCCAUGUAAAUCAUGCGCCUAUCUUGCAUAAGGAUUAGCACUAUCUCCAAACUGACCGAACCAAGCUUCCACUUGAGCCUCUUCACCCAGGAGUACCAAAUAGUGCGUCCAAAAUGGUUUCUUAGACUAUGUUGCAUUAGGUGCAAACUGUGCACCUAUCUUGCACUAAAACUUACAAUGUCUACAGACGGACGGAAGCAAGAUUCCAUAUGACACACGUCAUCUAGGAGUUCCUUUGGGUGCGUCCAAAUUGAUUUCUAAGCAUAUGGUAUGUUCCUUGCAAAUCAUGCACCUAUCUUGCAUCAAGAUUAGCACUGUCUCCAAAACAGAUCAAACCGAGCUUCCACUUGAGCCUCUUCACCAAAGUACCAACAGGUGCUUCCAAAAUGGUUUCUUAGACUAUGGUGCAUUUGUCACAAACCAUGCACAUAUUUUGCACCGAAACUAACACUGUUUCUAAAUAGACCAAAGCGAGAUUCCAUAUGACACACGUCAUCAAGGAGUCCCAUCAGGUGCAUCCAAAUUGAUUUCCAAGCAUAUGGUAUGUUCUAUGCAAACCAUGCACCUAUCUUGCAUCAAGACUAGCACUAUCUCCAAACAGACCGAAACGAGCUUCCACUUGAGCCUCUUCAUCUAGGAGUAGAAACAGGUGCGUCAAAAAUGGUUUCUUAGACUAUGGUGCAUUAGGCACAAACUAUGCACCUAUCUUGCACUGAAACUAACAUUGUCUCCAAAUAGACUGAAGCGAGAUUCCAUAUGACACACAUCAUCUAGGAGUUCCAUUGGGUGCGUCCAAAUUGAUUUAUUAACAUAUGGUACGUUCCAUGCAAACUGUGCAACUAUCUUGCAUCAAGAUUAGCACUAUAUCCGAGCAGACCAAAUCGAGCCUCCACUUGAGCCUCUUCAACUACGAGUACCAUUGGGUGAGUCUAAAAUGGUUUCUUAGCCUAUGGUGCAUUAGGCGUACACCGUGCACAUAUCUUCUACCAAAAUUAAAACUGUCUCUAAACGAACCAAAGCAAGAUUCCAUAUGACACACAUUAUCAAAGGACUUAUAUCAGGUGGGUCCUAAUUGAUUUCUGAGCAUAUCGUAUGUUCCAUGCAAACCAUGCAUCUAUCUUGCAUCAAGAUUAGCACUAUCUCCAAACAGACCAAACCAAGCUUUCAGUUGAGCCCCUUGACCUAGGAGUACCAUCGGGUGCGUCCAAAAUGGUUUCUUAACCUAUGGUGCAUUAGGUGCAAACCGUGCACCUAUCUUGCACUGAAACUAACACUAUCUCUAAACGGAUCGAAGUGACAUUCCAUAUGACACAUGUCAUCUAGGAGUUCCAUCUUGUGCGUCCAAAUUGAUUUCUGAGCAUAGGGUAUGUUCCAUGCAAAUCGUGCACCUAUCUUGCGUCAAGAUUAGCACUAUCUUUAAACAGACCGAACCGAGCCUCCACUUGAGCCUCUUCACCUAGGAGUAGCAACAAGUGCUUCAAAAAUGAUUUUUAGACUUUGGUGCAUUAGGCGCAAACUGUGCACAUAUAUUGCACCGAAACUAAUACUGUCUCUAAGCACACCAAAGCGAUUCCAUAUGACACACGUCAUCAAGGAGUUCUAUCGGGUGUGUCCAAAUUAAUUUCUAAGCAUAUGGUAUGUUCCAUGCAGACCGUGCAUCUAUCUUGCAUCAAGAUUAGCACUAUCCCCAAAUAGACCAAACCAAGCUUUCACUUGAGCCUUUUACCUAGGAGUACCAUCGGGUGCGUCCAAAAUGAUUUCUUAGCCUAUGCUGCAUUAUGUGCAAACCUUGCACCUAUCUUGCACCGAAACUAACACUGUCUCCAAACAGAUCAAAGCAAGAUUUCGUAUGACACACGUCAUCUAGGAGUUCCAUCGUGUGCAUCCAGAUUGAUUUCCAAGUAUUUGGUAUGUUCCAUGCAAACCGUGCACCUAUCUUGCAUCAAGAUUAGCACUAUCUCCAAACAGACCGAACCGAGUAUCCACUUGAGACCCUUCACCUAGGAUUACCAACAAGUGUGUCCAAAAUGGUUUCAUAGACUAUGGUGCAUUAGGUGCAAACGAUGCACCUAUCUUGCACCGAAACUAACAAUGUCUCCAAAUGGACCGAAGCAGAUUCCAUAUGACACACGUCCUCAAGGAGUUCCAUCGGGUGCAUCCAAAUUGAUUUCCAAGCAUAUGGUAUGUUCCAUGCAAACUAUGCAGCUACCUUGCAUAAGGAUUAGCACUAUCUCCUAACUGACCGAACCAAGCUUCCACUUGAGCCUCUUCACCCAGGAGUACCAAAUAGUGCGCCGAAAAUGGUUUCUUAGACUAUGGUGCAUUAGGUGCAAACUUUGCACCAAUCUUGCACCGAAACUAACAAUGUCUCCAAAUGGACCGAAGCGAGAUUCCAUAUGACACAUGUCAUCAAGGAGUUCCAUCGGGUGCAUCCAAAUUGAUUUAUGAGCAUAUGACAUGUUCCAUGUAAAUCGUGCGCCUAUCUUGCAUAAGGAUUAGCACUAUCUCCAAACUGACCGAACCAAGCUUCCACUUGAGCCUCUUCACCCAGGAGUACCAAAUAGUGCGUCUAAAAUGGUUUCUUAGACUAUGGUGCAUUAGGUGCAAACUGUGCACCUAUCUUGCACUAAAACUUACAAUGUCUACAAACGGACCGAAGCAAGAUUCCAUAUGACACACGUCAUCAAGGAGUUCCAUCGGGUGCAUCCAAAUUGAUUUAUGAGCAUAUGACAUGUUCCAUGUAAAUCGUGCGCCUAUCUUGCAUAAGGAUUAGCACUAUCUCCAAACUGACCGAACCAAGCUUCCACUUGAGCCUCUUCACCCAGGAGUACCAAAUAGUGCGUCUAAAAUGGUUUCUUAGACUAUGGUGCAUUAGGUGCAAACUGUGCACCUAUCUUGCACUAAAACUUACAAUGUCUACAAACGGACCGAAGCAAGAUUCCAUAUGACACACGUCAUCUAGGAGUUACAUUGGGUGCGUCCAAAUUGAUUUCUAAGCAUAUGGUAUGUUCCUUGCAAAUCAUGCACCUAUCUUGCAUCAAGAUUAGCACUAUCUCCAAAAGAGAUCAAACCGAGCUUCCACUUGAGCCUCUUCACCAAAGUACGAACAGGUGCGUCUAAAAUGGUUUCUUAGACUAUGGUGCAUUAGUCACAAACCAUGCGCAUAUUUUGCACCGAAACUAACACUGUUUCUAAGUAGACCAAAGCGAGAUUCCAUAUGACACACGUCAUCAAGGAGUCCCAUCAGGUGCAUCCAAAUUGAUUUCCAUGCAUAUGGCAUGUUCCAAGCAAACCGUGCACCUAUCUUGCAUCAAGACUAGCGCUAUCUCCAAACAGACCGAAACGAGCUUCCACUUGAGCCUCUUCAUUUAGGAGUAGAAAUAGGUGCGUCAAAAAUGGAUUCUUAGACUGUGGUGCAUUAAGCACAAACUAUGCACCUAUCUUGCACUGAAACUAGCAUUGUCUCCAAAUAGACUGAAGCGAGAUUCCAUAUGACACACAUCAUCUAGGAGUUCCAUUGGGUGCGUCCAAAUUGAUUUAUUAACAUGUGGUACGUUCCAUGCAAACUGUGCAACUAUCUUGCAUCAAGAUUAGCACUAUAUCCGAGCAGACCAAGUCGAGCCUCCACUUGUGCCUCUUCCACUACGAGUACCAUUGGGUGAGUCUAAAAUGGUUUCUUAGCCUAUGGUGCAUUAGGCGUAAACUGUGCACAUAUCUUCUACCAAAAUUAAAACUGUCUCUAAACGAACCAAAGCAAGAUUCCAUUGACACACAUUAUCAAGGACUUAUAUCAGGUGGGUCCUAAUUGAUUUCUGAGCAUAUCGUAUGUUCCAUGCAAACCGUGCAUCUAUCUUGCAUCAAGAUUAGCACUAUCUCCAAACAGACCA
rnacentral:lncRNA from 1 species